UGGAGAGUUUGAUCCUGGCUCAGGAUGAACGCUGGCGGCGUGCCUAAUACAUGCAAGUCGAGCGAACGGACGAGAAGCUUGCUUCUCUGAUGUUAGCGGCGGACGGGUGAGUAACACGUGGAUAACCUACCUAUAAGACUGGGAUAACUUCGGGAAACCGGAGCUAAUACCGGAUAAUAUUUUGAACCGCAUGGUUCAAAAGUGAAAGACGGUCUUGCUGUCACUUAUAGAUGGAUCCGCGCUGCAUUAGCUAGUUGGUAAGGUAACGGCUUACCAAGGCAACGAUGCAUAGCCGACCUGAGAGGGUGAUCGGCCACACUGGAACUGAGACACGGUCCAGACUCCUACGGGAGGCAGCAGUAGGGAAUCUUCCGCAAUGGGCGAAAGCCUGACGGAGCAACGCCGCGUGAGUGAUGAAGGUCUUCGGAUCGUAAAACUCUGUUAUUAGGGAAGAACAUAUGUGUAAGUAACUGUGCACAUCUUGACGGUACCUAAUCAGAAAGCCACGGCUAACUACGUGCCAGCAGCCGCGGUAAUACGUAGGUGGCAAGCGUUAUCCGGAAUUAUUGGGCGUAAAGCGCGCGUAGGCGGUUUUUUAAGUCUGAUGUGAAAGCCCACGGCUCAACCGUGGAGGGUCAUUGGAAACUGGAAAACUUGAGUGCAGAAGAGGAAAGUGGAAUUCCAUGUGUAGCGGUGAAAUGCGCAGAGAUAUGGAGGAACACCAGUGGCGAAGGCGACUUUCUGGUCUGUAACUGACGCUGAUGUGCGAAAGCGUGGGGAUCAAACAGGAUUA
rnacentral:rRNA from 1 species